rnacentral:tRNA from 1 species
GCCUGGCUAGCUCAGUGGUAGAGCAUGUGACUCUUGAUCUCCGGGUCAUGACUUCAAGCCUCAAGUUGGGCA